rnacentral:rRNA from 1 species
GGAAUAUUGGACAAUGGGGGUAACCCUGAUCCAGCAAUGCCGCGUGAGUGAUGAAGGCCCUCGGGUCGUAAAGCUCUUUCAGCAGGGAGGAAGAUCUGACUGUACCUGCAGAAGAAGCACCGGCUAACUCCGUGCCAGCAGCCGCGGUAAUACGGAGGGUGCAAGCGUUGUUCGGAAUCAUUGGGGGUAAAGCGCGUGUGGGCGGGCAACUAAGUCUGAUGUGAAAGCCCGGGGCUUAACUCCGGAAGUGGAUUGGAUACUGGUAGGCUAGAGGACGAGAGAGGGAAGUGGAAUUCCUGGUGUAGGGGUGAAAUCCGUAGAUAUCAGGAGGAACAUCAGUGGCGAAGGCGGCUUACUGGCUCGUAUCUGACGCUGAGACGCGAAAGCGUGGGGAGCAAAC